CCUACGGGAGGCAGCAGUGGGGAAUAUUGGACAAUGGGCGAAAGCCUGAUCCAGCAAUGCCGCGUGAGUGAUGAAGGCCUUAGGGUUGUAAAGCUCUUUUACCAGGGAUGAUAAUGACAGUACCUGGAGAAUAAGCUCCGGCUAACUCCGUGCCAGCAGCCGCGGUAAUACGGAGGGAGCUAGCGUUGUUCGGAAUUACUGGGCGUAAAGCGCGCGUAGGCGGCGAUUCAAGUCAGAGGUGAAAGCCCGGGGCUCAACCCCGGAACUGCCUUUGAAACUAGAUUGCUAGAAUCUUGGAGAGGUCAGUGGAAUUCCGAGUGUAGAGGUGAAAUUCGUAGAUAUUCGGAAGAACACCAGUGGCGAAGGCGACUGACUGGACAAGUAUUGGCGCUGAGGUGCGAAAGCGUGGGGAGCAAACAGGAUUAGAUACCCAGGUAGUCCACGCCGUAAACGAUGAUAACUAGCUGUCCGGGCACUUGGUGCUUGGGUGGCGCNGCUACGACAUUAAGUUAUCCGUCCGUCGGGUAGGUACGGUCGCGAAGAAUUAAACUAACAAGGAAAGUUAGACGGCGUGAGACGUGCCGAACGGACGACGACGAGGGAGGUAGG
rnacentral:rRNA from 1 species